AACGAACGCUGGCGGCAUGCCUAACACAUGCAAGUCGAACGAGACCUUCGGGUCUAGUGGCGCACGGGUGCGUAACGCGUGGGAACCUGCCCUUAGGUUCGGAAUAACUCCCCGAAAGGGGUGCUAAUACCGGAUAAUGUCUUCGGACCAAAGAUUUAUCGCCUUUGGAUGGGCCCGCGUUGGAUUAGCUAGUUGGUAGGGUAAAAGCCUACCAAGGCUACGAUACAUAGCUGGUCUGAGAGGAUGAUCAGCCACACUGGGACUGAGACACGGCCCAGAAUCCUACGGGAGGGAGGAGUGGGGGAUAUUGGACAAUGGGGGAAAGGAUGAACCAGCAAUGACGGGUGAGUGAUGAAGGCCUUAGGGUUGGAAAGCUAUUUUACCCGGGAUGAUAAUGACAGUACCGGGAGAAUAAGCUCCGGCUAACUCCGUG
rnacentral:rRNA from 1 species